UCCCUGGUGGCCCGGUGGUUAGGAUUUUGCACUUCCAAUGCAGGGGGCCCAGGUUCAAUCCCUGGUCAGGGAG